rnacentral:rRNA from 1 species
GACGAACCGUGCGAACGUUGUUCGGAAUAACUGGGCUUAAAGGGCGCGUAGGCGGGUUCCUAAGUCCGGAGUGAAAGCCCACGGCUCAACCGUGGAAGCGCUUUGGGUACUGGGGAUCUCGAGGGGGGUAGGGGCGCGCGGAACUUCCGGUGGAGCGGUGAAAUGCGUAGAUAUCGGAAGGAACACCGGUGGCGAAAGCGGCGCGCUGGACCCCCACUGACGCUGAGGCGCGAAAGCCAGGGGAGCAAACGGG